rnacentral:rRNA from 1 species
GGUGACCGUAAAGGGAGCUGCCUAGGGUAAAACUAGUAACUAGGGCUAAGUCGUAACAAGGUAGCCGUACCGGAAGGUGCGGCUGGAACAUCUCAUU